rnacentral:tRNA from 1 species
GGCUUUGUAUUCAAUAAUGAUUUUAAAUUGCAAAUUUAAAGGUGAAUUAAAAUUCCAAGGCUU